rnacentral:sRNA from 1 species
UGAUAGGUAGCUAAUGAUAUAACGAGU